GGGCCCGCACAAGCGGUGGAGCAUGUGGUUUAAUUCGAAGCAACGCGAAGAACCUUACCAGGUCUUGACAUCCUUUGACCACCCUAGAGAUAGGGCUUUCCCUUCGGGGACAAAGUGACAGGUGGUGCAUGGUUGUCGUCAGCUCGUGUCGUGAGAUGUUGGGUUAAGUCCCGCAACGAGCGCAACCCUUAUUGUUAGUUGCCAUCAUUUAGUUGGGCACUCUAGCGAGACUGCCGGUGAUAAACCGGAGGAAGGUGGGGAUGACGUCAAAUCAUCAUGCCCCUUAUGACCUGGGCUACACACGUGCUACAAUGGGAAGUACAACGAGUCGCAAAGUCGCGAGGCUAAGCUAAUCUCUUAAAGCUUCUCUCAGUUCGGAUUGUAGGCUGCAACUCGCCUACAUGAAGCCGGAAUCGCUAGUAAUCGCGGAUCAGCAUGUCGCGGUGAAUACG
rnacentral:rRNA from 1 species